rnacentral:rRNA from 1 species
AUCCCCCUUCCGUAAUUUCCAGUUCCACCCUUUAAUAUUUAAUUUGUUGCAGUUAAAAAGUUCGAAGUUGGAUUUUGGGACGGGCCGGUCGGUCCGCCCCGCGGGGGGCACCGGUCGUCCCUUCCCUUCUGUCGGCGAUGCGUGCCUGGCCUUAACUGGCCGGGCCGUGCCUCCGGCGCUGUUACUUUGAAAAAUUUAGAGUGUUCAAAGUAAGCCCACGCUUCUGGAUACAUUAGCAUGGGAUAACAUCACAGGAUUUCGGUCCUAUUGUGUUUGGCCUUCGGGAUUCGGAGUAAUGGUUAAGAGGGACAGUCGGGGGCAUUCGUAUUUCAUAGUCAAAGGUGAAAUUCCUUGGAUUUAUGAAAGACGAACCACUGCGAAAGCAUUUGCCAAGGAUGUUUUCAUUAACCAAAAACGAAAGUUGGGGGUUCGAAAACAAUCAAAUACCGUCUUAUCCUCAACCUUAAACGAUGCCAACAAGGGAUCGGCGGAUGUUGUUCUUAGGAUUCCGCCGGCCCCUUAUGAAAAAUCAAAGCCUUUGGGUUCCGGGGGGGAGUAUGGUCGCAAGGGUGAAACUUAAAGAGAAUUGACGGAAGG